ACGGAAGGCAGCAGUAGGGAAUCUUCGGCAAUGGGGGCAACCCUGACCGAGCAACGCCGCGUGAGUGAAGAAGGUUUUCGGAUCGUAAAGCUUUGUUGUAAGAGAAGAACGUGUGUGAGAGUGGAAAGUUCAUACAGUGACGGUAACUUACCAGAAAGGGACGGCUAACUACGUGCCAGCAGCCGCGGUAAUACGUAGGUCCCGAGCGUUGUCCGGAUUUAUUGGGCGUAAAGCGAGCGCAGGCGGUUUAAUAAGUCUGAAGUUAAAGGCAGUGGCUUAACCAUUGUUCGCUUUGGAAACUGUUAGACUUGAGUGCAGAAGGGGAGAGUGGAAUUCCAUGUGUAGCGGUGAAAUGCGUAGAUAUAUGGAGGAACACCGGUGGCGAAAGCGGCUCUCUGGUCUGUAACUGACGCUGAGGCUCGAAAGCGUGGGGAGCAAACAGGAUUAGAUACCCUGGUA
rnacentral:rRNA from 1 species